UACAGAGGGUGCAAACGUUGCUCGGAAUCACUGGGCGUAAAGGGCGUGUAGGCGGGUAUUUAAGUCGGGCGUGAAAUCCCUAGGCUCAACCUAGGAACUGCACUCGAAACUGCGUUUCUUGAGUACCGGAGAGGAAAGCGGAAUUCCUGGUGUAGAGGUGAAAUUCGUAGAUAUCAGGAGGAACACCAGUGGCGAAGGCGGCUUUCUGGACGGUAACUGACGCUGAGACGCGAAAGCGUGGGGAGCAAACAGG
rnacentral:rRNA from 1 species